UACGUAGGGUGCAAGCGUUAAUCGGAAUUACUGGGCGUAAAGCGUGCGCAGGCGGUUGUGCAAGACAGAUGUGAAAUCCCCGGGCUUAACCUGGGAAUUGCAUUUGUGACUGCACGGCUAGAGUGUGUCAGAGGGGGUAGGAAUUCCACGUGUGAGCAGUGAAAUGCGUAGAUAUGAUGGAGGAAUACCGAUGGCGAAGGCAGCCCCUGGGAUAACACUGACGCUCAUGCACGAAAGCGUGGGGAGCAAACAGG
rnacentral:rRNA from 1 species